rnacentral:rRNA from 1 species
AUUGAACGCUGGCGGCAGGCCUAACACAUGCAAGUCGAGCGGAGCGGCGGACGGGUGCGUAAUGCCUAGGUCUCUGACUGGUCGUGGGGGAUGACGUUCGGUACUGGGCGCUGAUACUGCUUCCUCUUCCAUUCGCCUAGGUCGGAUGAGCUAGUUGGUGGGGUAAAGGCCUACCAAGGCGACGAUCCGUAACGGGUCUGAGAGGAUGAUCAGUCACACUGGAACUGAGACACGGUCCAGACUCCUACGGGAGGCAGCAGUGGGGAAUAUUGGACAAUGGGCGAAAGCCUGAUGCAGCCAUGCCGCGUGUGUGAAGAAGGUCUUCGGAUUGUAAAGCACUUUAAGUGGGGAGGCGUUACCAACAGAAGAAGCACCGGCUAACUCCGUGCCAGCAGCCGCGGUAAUUC